rnacentral:rRNA from 1 species
CGUAGGGUGCAAGCGUUGUCCGGAUUUAUUGGGUUUAAAGGGUGCGUAGGCGGCCUUGUAAGUCAGUGGUGAAAUACUCCAGCUUAACUGGAGGGGUGCCAUUGAUACUGCAGGGCUUGAGUUAAGUUGAAGUUGGCGGAAUUGACGGUGUAGCGGUGAAAUGCUUAGAUAUCGUCAAGAACACCGAUAGUGAAGACAGCUAACUAACUUUUACUGACGCUGAGGCACGAAAGUGUGGGGAUCAAACAGGAUU